AUUGAACGCUGGCGGCAGGCUUAACACAUGCAAGUCGAGCGGGGAAAGGUAGCUUGCUACCUGACCUAGCGGCGGACGGGUGAGUAAUGCUUAGGAAUCUGCCUAUUAGUGGGGGACAACAUCUCGAAGGGGAUGCUAAUACCGCAUACGUCCUACGGGAGAAAGCAGGGGACCUUCGGGCCUUGCGCUAAUAGAUGAGCCUAAGUCGGAUUAGCUAGUUGGUGGGGUAAAGGCCUACCAAGGCGACGAUCUGUAGCGGGUCUGAGAGGAUGAUCCGCCACACUGGGACUGAGACACGGCCCAGACUCCUACGGGAGGCAGCAGUGGGGAAUAUUGGACAAUGGGGGGAACCCUGAUCCAGCCAUGCCGCGUGUGUGAAGAAGGCCUUUUGGUUGUAAAGCACUUUAAGCGAGGAGGAGGCUACUUGGAUUAAUACUCUAGGAUAGUGGACGUUACUCGCAGAAUAAGCACCGGCUAACUCUGUGCCAGCCGCCGCUGUAAGAC
rnacentral:rRNA from 1 species